CUCAUACAAGAAGCUUCCCAUCUUUGUGGUUGGUGGGCAUUCCUCUGCAUUCCACCAAACCUUGUUGGACAAAACACUCUGGAGAAAACUUUGAAAGAAAGGGAUCACAGAAACUCACAUUUGGACCAUAAAAGCCAUGCGACUCUGGAGCAGCAAAAAAAUAGCAUCCUGACAUUGCUAGACAUUACUCCUUGACACUGUCAUGGGCUGUGACAUCAAAGUCAGCUAAAAUAAAAAAGAAAUGUAAUUUCCCAAGACGUCAACUGAUGAACUGAAGUCACGUGGAUUACUUGUUGAUCGUUGUGAUGCUCCCAUUCUGACGGCACCCAUUCACUGCAACGGAUCUUUUGAUUCCUUCUCAUGCUGUGUCAUCUGAAUGCUGUGAGUAACUGGUAUGCAGAGAGAAGCAGUGCGGUAUUCCCCUCACUCAGCAAACCAG